rnacentral:rRNA from 1 species
UACGUAGGGGGCUAGCGUUGUCCGGAAUCAUUGGGCGUAAAGAGCGUGUAGGCGGCUCGGUAAGUCCGCUGUGAAAGUCCAGGGCUCAACCCUGGAAUGCCAGUGGAAACUGUCGAGCUAGAGUCCGGAAGAGGCGAGUGGAAUUCCUGGUGUAGCGGUGAAAAUGCGCAGAGUAUCAGGAGGAACACCAAUGGCGAAAGGCAGCUCGCUGGACGGUACUGACGCUGAGACGCGAAGCGUGG